rnacentral:tRNA from 1 species
ACAGUGGUAGUUCAGUGGUAGAAUUCUUGCUUUCUAUGCAGGAGACUUCUAUUCCCAGCCAAUGUA